UGUUCUAACAUCUAUCCAUUUUGAAUUGAAUAUAAUCCAUUUUUAAUUAUUGAAAAUGCACACUCGUUUAGCAGACGAGUCAUCAAUAGCGUGGUCAUCCGUCAUCUUAAUAACACACAACUUGGAUAUUAUUUCACUCUUUGGGAUUUUGCAUCGUUUAUUUGUAGCUUAAUGCCAGACCAGCUCUGAUUGGAUUUGUAUCAUUCUCUUCCACUUACGAUGGACGCUUAAAAGAUUCUUAAGUCAGCAAGAUUCACCAUGAUUAUCCAGCCAGUUAUUCAUCACAUGAUGCAGUUGUUGUUGGUGCUCGUGGAGCUGGAUUUUGUGCAGAGUUUGGUUGCUUCGCAGGCAUCAUAAAUCUUCAAUAGUUCGAUCUUGAUGAAAUGAAUCCUAUCAAGUUACGUUAUAGGGCACAGGAAUCCCUUUCUGGAAGUCCACAGCAUUCAAG